CUGAAGGAAACUUUGCAGCACUAAAUACUGACUGUUCAUAACAUGGUGGGCACCUGCUAUGAAAGCCUGAAAAAUUAGGACAAAGCAUCUUACGUGUAAUAGAGUGAAGAAGGGGAACUGAAAGGAAGAACUACCUGGAAAGGGCAGGGAUGCGUUUCCUGUGUUUUGGCUUCCUGUCUCACUCUCCCAGUGGAAAGACAAUCAGAGUUCCUGUAGACAAACCCUCUAGUACAAGAUGUACCUGUGACUUCCACAGUGACUGCUUGCCAUGGGCCAGGGUGAUGCUCCACUGGUGCAGAGAGGAGGCAGCAAGAUGAGACUAUGCAAGGUGGGCUGCAAGAGGAGACUAAGCUCUCACUGCAUCGAGAUUUUUUGUGAGCUACUAGGAGGGCACAUUUACGUUUACUGUCAACAUCUCCAGAGCUGGCAAAUGUCCCAAAUCAAGGAGUUAACAGAAGGCAAUGAAGAACUUUGGAUGGCGAUAGUUAUUUUCUAU